UACGGAGGGAUCUAGCGUUAUUCGGAAUUACUGGGCGUAAAGCGAGCGUAGGCUGAAUUGUAAGUUGGAUGUGAAAUCCCAGAGCUUAACUCUGGAACUGCAUCCAAAACUACAUUUCUUGAGUUUGGUAGAGGAGAGUGGAAUUCCUAGUGUAGAGGUGAAAUUCGUAGAUAUUAGGAGGAACACCAGUGGCGAAGGCGACUCUCUGGGCCAAUACUGACGCUGAGGUUCGAAAGCGUGGGUAGCGAACAGG
rnacentral:rRNA from 1 species